ensembl:lncRNA
UAAAGAGGUAUUUUGCCCAGGGUUACGCCACAGUGGUUACCAUUGGUUAAGUUUAGAGCCAGGGUGGGUAUAGCCACCGGGGUUACUAACGGGUAGGUUUAGAGUUAGGUUAGGGUUAGGAUUAGAAAAAAUCCAAGAGCUGAUGCACAGUCCAGCUCUGGUAAUGCACAGUCCUUCAAUACUCCUUCUGGCCGCUCUCCUGCCUCGGCCAAGGCCUGCCCCCACGGCCUAGGCCCACUACUUCACCACCAAUAUAUUUGGUCUUUUUAACGUUGAAUCACAGAUAGUGAGAUUUUUAAACGUAUGGACGAGUAUUGUUUUCAAUAAUAAAUGUUGUUUUUAUAUUAAGGUUUUUAUAGUAUUUAUUAAUAUUUAUGGAUAAUACUUCUCCAUAUAAAUUAUUAGGGGUAGAAUGGGUAGGAUUAGGAUGGGUGGGGCUACAAUGAUGUAAUUUAUUAGGGGUAGAAUGGGUAGGAUUAGGGUGGGUUAGGGUUAGGGUUAGGUUAGAGUUAGGGUUAGGAAAGAAGAGGAUUUCCCAGACUAGGACCCUAUGGGUCCCAAUCUGGGUUGUGCACGGUCCAUCACUCCACUGGGUUAGGAAAGAAGAGGAUUUCCCAGACUAGGACCCUAUGGGUCCCAAUCUGGGUUGUGCACGGUCCAUCACUCCACUGGUCACCCCCAAAUCACACAAAGACCAAGAGAGGUCACAGCAGCCGGACUGUUAAGGGCUAUUCAUAGGGCUAUUGAGGCCAGGGCUGUCAAGUUUAGGGCUGUUGAGGCCAGGGCUGUUAAAUUCAGGUCUGUUUGAGUUUAGGUCUGGUUAAGUUUAGGUUUGGUUAAGUUUAGGUCUGGUUAAGUUUAGGUUUGGUUAAGUUUAGGUCUGGUUAAGUUUAGGUUUGUCCAGGAUGGGUGUGUAAGAUUCCAGUCCAAACCCGGGGUAGGUUUAGGUUUUAGUAUGAUGAGUUGGUUUUGGUUUGGUUUUAUGCUGAGGUUGAAAUCAGGUGGAUCUCCUAAGUUUCAUUUAGACCCCUUG